GAACUCUGUCCUGUGCACGAGGCUCUUGCAAAACAAUGGUAUCCGGGCAGGGCACAGCCUUGUUUACAGACUUCUCUCCUGCCUCUUCCCACACGGCACACACAAACACCCUUCUCGCGCCCGCCCGCCUCCUUCCACGCGAAGCCCAACUCAGGCACGGCCCGGCCGAGCCCGGCGUCUCCCCUGCGCGCGGCGGGCCGGAGGCGCCCGGGCCGGGCCGGGCCUCGGGGCGUCGAGUGGCCCCGGAGCGGAGCGCGGAGCGGCCCCGCCGAGUCCCAAGCGAGCGCUGGGCGCGGCCCGGGCGGCGCGGUCGGGAGGGAGCAGCGGCGGCAGCGCUCCCCGCGCGGGGCUGCGCGCAGGUGCUGGAGGCUGCGGGGAGGCCGCGUCCGGGCCCGGCAAUGCGGCUCCGCCCCUCGGGCCCUCCUGUGGCGGCGGCAGCGGCUGCUGUUCCCGGCGCGGCCGCGGCGCCGCUCCCCCUCCCCGGCUCGCUGGGCUGCCCCUCAUGCGGAUGUGACAUUUCACGGCGUUUACCGCAGCCGCCAUUUUGAGACACUGAGCGCUGGCGGCGGCGGAGCGGCAGCAGAGCGCCGGGCCACAGGCAGCCGGGGCGGCCCGCGGGCCGGGAGGAGCGAGCCGGGCGUCGGCCAGCGGCUGUGCCGGGGCGCUGGGGGGGCGGGAGGGCAGAGGAGGGGCCCCGCGGCGCCUCCCCGACUUCGCAGCGCCGGGGACACCUCGCCGGGGGAGGGGGGAAGCGCCGGGCGCAGCCGCCGGGCCCUGACUCCUGAUCUCCCGUCCCCCCUCCCUCCCCUCCUCCCGGUCCCCUCCCCUCCGGCCCCCGGGGCAGCCGCCGCCCCCGGCCGGUCCCUCCUCCCCACCCCCUUCCCCAGACCGGGUGCCGCCGCCGAGAUUGGGCGAAUAGCGAGCAAAUACGUGCGCGUCUCGCUGCCUCCCCCGGCUGCCCGCUCCCUGCCCGCCGGAGCCCAGCCGCAGCCCCCCGAGGCGGGCGCCCAUCCCCGGCAGCUGCCCGGGCCCCGCCGCUCCUCCGCCCCGUCCCCUCCCGACGCAGCCCCGCAGCCCCCAGCGGGAAAGGCCCAGGCC
rnacentral:lncRNA from 1 species